rnacentral:rRNA from 1 species
AGCGCAGGCGGUUAUUUAAGUCAGGUGUGAAAGCCCCGAGCUCAACUUGGGACGUGCAUUUGAAACUGGAUAACUAGAGUGUGUCAGAGGGGGGUAGAAUUCCACGUGUAGCAGUGAAAUGCGUAGAGAUGUGGAGGAAUACCGAUGGCGAAGGCAGCCCCCUGGGAUAAUACUGACGCUCAUGCUCGAAAGCGUGGUAGCAAACA